UACGGAGGGUGCAAACGUUGCUCGGAAUUACUGGGCGUAAAGCGCGUGUAGGCGGCCGAGUCAGUCGAGUGUGAAAGCCCUGGGCUUAACCCAGGAAGUGCACUUGAUACUGCUUGGCUCGAGUACGGGAGAGGGUAGUGGAAUUCCCGGUGUAGAGGUGAAAUUCGUAGAUAUCGGGAGGAACACCAGUGGCGAAGGCGGCUACCUGGACCGAUACUGACGCUGAGACGCGAAAGCGUGGGGAGCAAAC
rnacentral:rRNA from 1 species